UGCCAACAGCAUUCCCUUCCUAAAACUUCUAGGCAAAACCAGCCUAGCCUCUGAGCUGGCUGUCAUUAUCCAAGAAAUGACAAUGACCUCUAGAACGCUAGGCAGGACUGGCCAGGAGGAUUCCACUGUGACUUGUCCAUCGCCUAUGAAGCCCUGUGGCACACCCCAAAAUGGAAAGCAACUGAGGACCCUCAAGAGAACUGCCAUUCAGGAGCAGUCCCACCAGGGUGGGUUCCGUACACAGGUGCUUGGUGUGAUUGGAGGAACCGAGAUACUCUCUGCACCCCAAGUCUCCCACUCCUUGACUCUGAUAUGCCACAACCAGAUGUCAUCUCACCAGCAUUCAUGAGCACCUACCACUUUCCAGGCACCACGCUGAGUAUUGGGCUUGAUUCCUCUGGGUUAUAUAUUACCACCCCUAAGCGUUUUCUUUUAAAAUGCAAACACCCUCUGAGAAGGGCAAUGCAUUAGUUAGAUUGCUCACACCGCAGACUGAAUUAAUUCAGGGUAUGGGGAGUUCUUUAUUAUAAGAUAUCAGAGAAGGACUAGAUAUCUUUAGCAAACGGGGCAGCUAAAGUUCAGAGGGCAGAGGUGACUACAGAAAAAAGGACCAAGACAGCUGUAACUUUGCAUUUUUCUACAGUGGAUUUCAGUGGCCACAUCUCCUUCCUCCUUUGUCCUUAAUCAAGACAAACAUGCCCAUGCCCAUAACAAGCAGCAGCAGUCCCCAUAAGUGCAGCUGAUGAGUUGGACUCCAUAGGAGAGAGCGGCCAGGGGCUGGCAGCCCUGGCUCUGCUGCAGAGGAGCCGGCCUGCCUUUCACCAUCUCCAGGAUGAGGACGCCCUGAAUCAGUGCCUACUCGCUCCCCAGCAAGUUCAGGGCUUAGAGUUCAGGUAAUUAGGCCCUUGGCAAUCUCACCUGAGCCCGCCAAUAAAACAGACAAACACCUUCAGCUCCUGUUCAGGAGGGAGAGAGGAAACCAGGAGGGAGGAAACCAGGAGGGAGGAAGGGAAGGAGGAAAACUUUUUUCUAUUCUAAGGCUUGGCAACCGGAAGGGAGAAUUCAUUUACAAAGCAGCCACUCCAACACCCCACUCCUGCUCCACACCCAGGGUUGUCCCCUCCUGCCACAGAACCCUGGACUCCAUCUGCCACCAUCAUCGAGGAUGACAGGGGACAUCUUUGCAGGCUGCAACCUGAACAGGCACUGGGCACUGAGGGCCUAACCUUGUAGGGCAGGCAUUCGCCAGCAUGGUUCCUUCCAGCAGAGGAAAGAAGGCUCCCUCCCAUUCCAGGAGCCACACCACCCCCAAAAGAUGUCUGAAAGGCUGCUCCAGAGUGUUAGAGAGCAACUGAGUGACUUCUUUGAACCCUGCCUUGUGUCACCACCAGCUGUUGAGGGCUCAGCUCAGUUCAUGUCUGGGCUCCUUCAGACCGGGGACCAUUCCUUAACCAUCCCUGGAUUGGGACAGUGCCCAGGAGAUACUAGGCACACAGAUUUCGUUUCCCCCCCUAAAUAAUCAACAUUAUUAAUACUUCUUGCAUAUGAUCACGCUGGUCUGUGAUGGAGUUCCAUACCUGGCCUUUUUUACUACCUAUAUCAUCUAAAUUUACUCCUGCCACACACGAGAGGGAAGGGCAUAUCUGUCACAAGGCUGGGUGGGGAAGAAUAGUUUAACAACAAUUGCAGUUUAUCGGGUGCUUGCUUAAGGGACUGGCAAGUACUCUAUGAGGAUUAUCUAAUUUAAUUAUUCCUAAGGGGUAGAUACUAUUAUCCCAAUUUACAGACAAGGAAACUGAGGCUAAGAAAAAAAAAACAGACGUUUGCCCAAGGUCACAG
rnacentral:lncRNA from 10 species